GUUUUUCUGGUCUUUGAGACCGAAUGACGAAAGGAGCAUGUCAACGCGCUGCCUCAACUCGGCCUUUCCAAUGGGCCUUUCGUCAGCUUGUUCACCACUCGGUGACUUACUCAUCGAGACCGAACUUGGCAGCGAACGCCAAUGUCUCGGCUGUAGUGAUGCUUCCGAUAUGAUGGUCUUGCUGCUCCACAUAGCAAGAAGUACGUCGGAUGUCGGAUAUGGUGGCGUGAACAUCAUUGAUGAAGACAUCGCCCGCGAGUUUCGCUUUUGGUGGCAUCGCCCGGUGCGCCAACCUAUUCAGGAGCGUGGUUUUACCAGACCCCGAGGGACCCAUUAUCGCAACAAGCUCGCCUGCAGUCAGCAUGGUAUCGUCUGGGAUUCUCUCACCUGCGUGUGCUUCACCGCUCACUGCGGCCAGAAGUUUCUUUUCAGCUUUCGAACCGCUUGCAGGCAUCGUAGCGGUGAUCCCACGCCAAUGGAAGCUGCUAACGCUGUCAUUGUAGAGUCCUGUAAUAUCGAGACACUUUCCAGCUUCGACGUAAGAGGGGUCGAUGGCGAUGGCAGACAUGUUUAGUGAAUGAAUAGCUUGAUGGGGGGCCAAACAUGCACACUUGUCCUGGAGGAUCCCUUAUAUGCGCACUACGGUGUCCGAAUCGUUGCCAGCUUGACGGAACAUUCUGAAUGGUUUCCGAAUCACCGUUGCCUUUCUUGGUCAGAAUUCCGACAAGGGGAGACGUUCACGAAGUCAGAGCGUGACAAACAAUAAAGACAGACUGGUGUGGUAAGCGCGCACUGUGAUCACAGCGUCUGACAUUCGGCGUCAAUGAAUCUAUUCGGAAAAGGGGCUCAGAAACUGAGUAAGCUUGGACGAUAGGACCCUGAAUCAGGGCUAUGGGGUUCUGAUGAUUAUUGUUUGGUCUUGAUAGAACCGUUGAACCUCCGAAUGUGAAGUGUCAAUGGAGAUUGAAAUUACGAGGAGCGGCGAUGGGAGUAUCCGAAUUGGGAUUCGCCAACGCUGUAUUCGGACCUCGAUGCCAUCGUUGUGAUUCCAGUUUCUGUCCGGUGGGGAAUAUUUUGGCACCUAUAUAAGUUGUAGAAUGUAAUCCGACUGGGCACAACCCCUGCCCCUUGAUCUAUCCUCGGUCUUUGAUCCGUUCAAGUUUCAAUUAUAGCCAUGUGCCGACAAAUCAUUUGUGAAAACUGUCAGAAAAAGACAUGGAUUGGAUGCGGCCAGCAUAUUGAGACACGAGCUCUCAAAGACGUUUCAGUGGAAGAGCGAUGCGCAGGAUGGAAGAAGGGGGGUAAUGGUGCUUGCAAAGAUGUGAUUUGGAACAGUACGGAUCGGGCCUGAUUGAGA
rnacentral:sRNA from 1 species